CAUUUUAUUUUAUCAAGCUUAAAUUCAAAAACAAAAAAAAAACAGCAUUCGUGGAUACCUAUACACGCCCCCAUUACAAAAAUUGAGGCCCAAGAAACAAACAACACAGCCGGCCCAAACCAUAUCCGAAGACAUGGCAGACACCAUAAGCCUCAUGGCGGGCGCCAUGACGUAACGGUCAGAUUCACCUUUUCUACUAUUUAUACCUUCUUCAACCUUUCCAAACCUA
rnacentral:lncRNA from 1 species